rnacentral:lncRNA from 1 species
GACCUCCGGGGAGGAGAGAGGGAUUGAAGGUUAAGUUGAUCUUCAAUGGCCAAUGAUUUAAUCAAUCAUGCCUGUGUAAUGAAGCCUUCAUAAAAACCUAAAAAAGGACGGGGUUUGGAGAGCUUCCUGUAAGCGAACCCGUGAAGGUUCCAGGAGGAUGGCGCACCCGGAAAGGGCGUGGAAGCUCCGCGCCCCUUCCCACAGACUUUCCCCCAUCCAUCUCUUCAUCUGGUGUUCAUCGAUAGCCUUUGUAAUGUCCUUAAUAGUAAACCGGAAAACUCUCUCUCUGCUGCUGUUCUCCCUCCUCCAGAUAUUUUCAUUUCUUCUGCAAAGUGGAGGACUAAAACUGCAGUUUUAGAGUGGAGGAAGAAGAGAAUCACCACAUAUCGUAUUUAGAGGUCCUGCAGAAAGGGCAGAGCGAGUUUCAUGUUUGAGUGCAGCGGAUGCAUGGGCAAAGCAUUACACAGCCGCUCCAUGGAAGUGACAAUGAGCCUUGUCUUUCACACGUAACUCCAGGAACCAGGGGAAACAAAACCAAUUCCACCCAGAGGUACAGACAAAGAAGAGCACCCUCCCAAAGGAGCCCGCAUGAUAAGUGGCCACGGCGAACAUCACUGUGAUCAGUCAGAAAGGCAGGCGAGUUAUUAGCUUAGCCCUGAACCUCCUACUUAAUGUAGAACCAGUGGUGAUGGUUAACAGACCCUGGCUGCAGUGACAAGCCUGGGACCUGCUCGAGGAAAUCCAAUUGAAAAGCAGCCAAGAGGAACAACAAGCUAGAAACAGAUGUUCCAGCUACCAGGAUGUGCACGCAUUUAACCUGAACAUGUAGUUGGGGUGGGAUGGUAGCAUUCGUUUCUAAAUAUAGUGAUUUCACUUCUUCCCCCAUAUAGAUAUUGUCAAGUUUAAUUAUAGCCAUCCACAUUAGUUUUGUCAAAUUUUCAGCAAUUUCUUUAAAAUAAGAAGAUGUCAGAAUGAUAACUGCUAUUAAGGGAAUUCAGGGUGUUUGGUUUAUCUACCCAGUCUUACUAAAACAUUUCAGUUAAAUCAUCCACUCUUAAACUCCAGUCUCAUAGCAAUUAAAAAUUAUCUUUUAAAAAAUUGCCCAAAUGAAAUUCCAACAGUUCAUGUAAUUAUUUGAUUUAAUAUUACCAUGUUAGUAAAAUAUCUUUAAGAUAGUUA